rnacentral:tRNA from 1 species
UAAGUAGGGCAAGGUGGCUGAAUUAGGCAUUAGGCUGUAAAUCUAACUAUGGGGGUUUGAGUCCCCUUCUUGUCA